AUUGAACGCUGGCGGCAGGCUUAACACAUGCAAGUCGAGCGGAGAUGAGGUGCUUGCACCUUAUCUUAGCGGCGGACGGGUGAGUAAUGCUUAGGAAUCUGCCUAUUAGUGGGGGACAACAUUCCGAAAGGAAUGCUAAUACCGCAUACGCCCUACGGGGGCAAGCAGGGGAUCUUCGGACCUUGCGCUAAUAGAUGAGCCUAAGUCGGAUUAGCUAGUUGGUGGGGUAAAGGCCUACCAAGGCGACGAUCUGUAGCGGGUCUGAGAGGAUGAUCCGCCACACUGGGACUGAGACACGGCCCAGACUCCUACGGGAGGCAGCAGUGGGGAAUAUUGGACAAUGGGCGGAAGCCUGAUCCAGCCAUGCCGCGUGUGUGAAGAAGGCCUUUUGGUUGUAAAGCACUUUAAGCGAGGAGGAGGCUACCUGGAUUAAUACUCUAGGAUAGUGGACGUUACUCGCAGAAUAAGCACCGGCUAACUCUGUGCCAGCAGCCGCGGUAACAC
rnacentral:rRNA from 1 species